CAUCCGGGGUGAUUUGAAUGUGUACAUGUUUGGGGAAUUUCUUCAUCUCGGGGUUGUGGAGUAGAACUCAUUCCCAUUUCCAUGAAGUUUCCAAGUGUCGGUGAAAUAAUCUGAUGUCAGGUGUGGAUUAUCCCAUUCUCCGAGGGACGUCGAAGUUCCCAGUCAGAUGAGUCGAAACCAUUCCAAACUCAUUGAUAUACUGGUUGAUUUACCUGUGGAUAUUACAAGGAAUCAGUGACUGUAUGGUGAAAUUUUCAGAACGGUGAAAAUUCUUCCAGUUAUACAGUUUAAAUUAUCUAUAUGAAAAUUGAAAUGGAAUCCAGAUGUCCACCAGAGUAAUAAUUGACAGGUCAUGAUGUCCAAUUCUUCAAGUACUUCUUUCUUGGAUGAUGACAUGAAUAAAUCUUCAGGAAUCAUGUCUUCGGUGGAAUUGGGCUUACAGCUGAUCAUCCGAUGAAAGGUGUGUUGCCUAUCUCCAGCAUUUAUUCUCAUCGGUGUUGCAGUAUGGGAGACCUGGGCAGUUGGCAGUGGGUGUUCAUCAUCUUCCAAAUCUAUCAGUGAUGUCUUCAGUUGUGCAACCUUGGUUGGUUGAAUGGGAGACAUCUCAGGCGACUGUGGAAUCUCUGCCUCCAAAAGCGAUCCAUCCGGUCGGGUUGAUGGUUGCUGUCUGUCAGCAGUCAACGUUGCCUCCAAUGAACUCAAGGCCCGAGCUGCAGUCUCCUUUAAGUGUUCUAUCAUCUGUGACUCGGUUUCAUUUUUAGUGAUAAUAAAAUUCAGUCUUCUCUGAA